AAGACUUUAAGUUAAAAAAACUAAUAGCCUUCAAAGCUGUAAUUAAAGAAGAUUCUUUAAGUCUUA
rnacentral:tRNA from 1 species